GUUUCCAAGUAGUGAGUUUUCGGAGCCCUUGGAGGAUUUGUGCCUGCUGAUCCUUGAGCACAGGUGACUGCUACUGAGCGGCGGCGACCUGGAGCUCUGUGAGGAACCUUGCCGUGGCACACUGCCACGUGCAGAGAGCACACGUGAGCACUGCUUUGCACUGCCCAUGCUGGAGCUCUGAGGGGGAGUCUGGAUGUCCUGAGAACGGAAAGCCAUUCCUGAGUGACCCCUGAAACCGGAGCUCUGAGGGGACCUCCUGCAGAGUCCUGAGCGCCGACUGGAGUGUACGUCGGAACUCGACACAGGACCCUGCUUCUGCGACAUCAAGGCACUGCUGUGCUGGAACUGCCUUGAUAAAACAGCAGACUGACUCCUGAUAUAUAGCAACAGGAACACCUGGGAACUACAUCCAGGGCAAUCUCACUGGUAACCCUCAGCUGGGCCAGGGAAUAUGGCUGAAGCUGAACUGUCGAGAGUGGGCUCAGCUGCUCCUCAGUCACAUCAGCUCUCCUGCUCAUUGCUGUGAACCCUUGUCUCAGUGGUCACCUCCUGGUCAUCCCAACAGCUGUUUCCACAGUCUGUGAUUGGCACUGGAUUUACUUUACUGAACUGGACCUAUGCAUCACUCUGGAGUUACAGCUUCCCUAUUUCCCUUGUUUUCCUCAGACAUGAAAACACCUCAAGGGACUUUGGGGACUUACAAAAUGGGGUAAGUAGAGAAGUACCAUUCUUUAAUAAGUCACACCUUUUUGUUAUGCUCCAGUGGUAUUAAAAGCCAAGAAGUCCCGUGUGAGAGAUGCUCCUGUCACUAGAAGGCUCUGAGAAGCUUAUAGGAGGCACAUCAGAAUAAAGGCAUCAGUGUAUGAGUUGUGAUGCAAUAUAUUCUUGUAAUACCUGUAAGUGGACACCAGCUCCUCUGAUUUCUGCUUACAUAUCUUCACUAUCUCCUUAUACAUCCCUCACUUUGCUGCACAGGACUUUGCUGCAAGAAAACAUCAGAUUUGUUUGUUUGUUUGUUUACAGCAUUUUCACUAUUUGCUGGGUGAAGACAUCUUACCAUAGAUCUGACAGCAAAACUGCCAAAAUGUUUUUUGUUAUAGCAUGAAAUCUUCCUUAAAUUGCUAUGUCCAGCAGUUUGUGACUGUGUGUUCAGCUGGGUACCUUCCAGAGACUGAGCAUCUCCCAAUAACAACCUAAUAUUGGCAUUCAUAUAUUCAAAAGAACAUGUGACCAGCCAAGAGCUGGGAAGUCCUCAGAGGUAAAAUCCUUCUGGUUAAAGUAGAAUAACUACUCUUCAUUCAUUUGUGUGGCUGAAAUGUACAAUGCCCCAAGGAAAAAAUUAUAAAAGUCAUUGGUGAGCAGCAAAAAAGCUUUAAGAAACCAGUCUUAGUCUCAGUUUUUCUAUUUUUUCUGUUCAUAGAUCCUAUUUUUAAAAUUUUAAAAUUAACAAAAAAAAAAAAAUCUUAGAAGCAAAUACUAAUUUUAUUAUGCUUGCACAUUAACUGCUAAUGCAAAUAUUUUCAUUUGCAGCAACUCAAAUAUUUUCAUUUGAUACACAAAAAUCAGAAGCAGCAAUAAUACUCUGAAAUAUUGGCAGUGAUUAUUUUUGUAGUCAUACAAAAUCAAGUUUUCAGCCUGGUAUUAUAAGCCUUAUUUCUGAAUCCCUAAAGUCUUGCAAGUAAAGUAAUUUUUUUUUUUUUUAAUAUUGGAUUAUACAUUGCUAUUUUUCCAAAAAAAAAAAAAAGAAACCAACUGUAAAGAAUGUUUCUUGAAAAUAACUCUUCAGACAUCCCACAAGAAAUAAGAUAAGGAAAUGGAAAUGGGAGUUUGAGCACAGGAGGUCUUGUAAGGAAGGAAGAGGCCUGUUGAGAAGAUCUCAAGACAGAAAAAUGGCACGCAAGAGAACAAACAAAUAGAAAUGUAAAGAUGCAAGAGAGGCCAUGUUUUCCUGUUGUGAUCUUGAGAUAGAGCAGAUAUUAAUCAGUCAAAACCCAUAUAAUAUUUCUUUGUGCAAUUGCAUCCAUUUUGACAAAAAUCCAAACCAGCCAACAAACCAAAAACCCAUCAGCAUGACACCUGGAAAGAUCUAAGUCAACCUUUGCGUCCCAUCUCUUUGUGCUUCGACAGAAAUAUACACAAGAUGGAAUGUGUUAUCUCUUCAGUAAAAGGGUGGACUUGGCCUGUGAGAAAGUAAAAGGUGAUAGGAACACAUCUGGAAAAGGGGGCAGCUGAGUGACAGAGUGAUGGAGAGACAAUUCACUGGAGAGAAUUAUAUGCUCACUGCAUCUAUGCAUCUUUCUCAGGUGCAUGAAUUAAGGACUUUUGCUCCCACACAUGUAGCAAAACCCCAGAGGACAACAGAGAACUUGAUUGUGCUGUGGUGUGUGCAUAUGAAAGCAGUUUUCUCACUGAUGCAAAACAUAAGGUUUUGAUAAACACUAUUUCUGGAUGUUGCAGUGCUUCCUGGUCUCUACACCAUAAGAAGCCACUUCAAACAGGCUGUUACGCAUUUCUGAACAAAACUGAUCAUCAUUUGAGCAUCAGUUCUGUCUUGAAGCUCUGUUAGAGCUUUCUGCAGCAGCAAAAGUGGUUCCUGGAGACAUACCGGAUUGUUAAACAAAAAUGUAGUUUUGAGCAGCUUCUUAGAAGUCACAUGCGAAAAAGAGCCAUUCUGCAAUGACUACUGGAAUGAACCAUAACCAGAGAUUAAGAACCAUCUAGCACUUUUCAGGGAACAUAUAGAGUUUAACAGAGAUUAAAUGUAAAGAUAUAUAUAAUACAAAAGCAUUCAUUCUGCAUGGGAUAAUUUUACCCGGUUGGAUUUUUUUUCUUUUGCUUGUUUUUUUUCUUGCUUGCUAUUCAGCAAUUAAGAUUAAUUACCUUGCAAAUACUUUUAGACCUCUCUCUACAAUGACCUACUAAGAUAUUCUAAUGGAAAGAAGAAAUGUGCCCUCAAUGCACAAGGAUCAGCCCCUUGCCUGUCAUGACAAAGAUGUCCAUUCAAACAGAAAACAGGAGAAAGCUCCAGCUGAUUAUUUUGCAUCACCAUACUCCAAGAAAUGCCAACCAAACUAACACUUACCAAAGAAUGCAGUCAGUACCUCUGGUAGAGAAAUAUAACGUUUCCCAUUUCCCCAGCCAGUUAACUUGUCUGUCUCAUGUAAGUGUGAAACCAAUGUAAGAACAUUACCUAAUUCAUAAUGCUUUGCUAAAAUACUAUGCACUAAAUGCAGGAGUAAUUUUCCACUUGAGGUUCUCUGUAGGCUUUCGUUGAUUUUUUUAACUCCAUGUAUUCCAUUUUUAGCAGCAAUAAACUAUUCAAACAAAGCUAACACAUAAAUGAUGCAGGCUUUGAGAGAAAAGUGAGUGCCACUCAAAAAAAAACCCAAACCAAACCAAAACAGAAAAUACAAAAUUAAACACUUAAAAAUCCAUAACUAAUAAUCUGUAAAUUA
ensembl:lncRNA